GCGGUACAGACAUGGCGAAAGCAUAUAUAAAAGAUAAUUAUAUCACCGGAGAAAGUAAUAAUCGCGGAAAUAGUUGACUAAUUACAUAUGUGCAUAACAACUACACUAUAUUUACUGCAGCUAUAUUAUGGAAAAUGUCUGUCAAUUUUAAACCCGAUUUCUGUCUUAAUUUUUCCGACAAAACAUAAACUUGUAAUCUUUGUAUGUAUAAAGCAUGUACAUAGUCUAUAUUAUUAGUUCUAGUGAUGCAGUGUUCAUUCCAUGGAUCGGAGAAGGGAGGGUGUUUGUAGAGACUAUCACCUCUUGUUAUCAAUGGAUGGUAAACUCAGCCGAAGUUGAAAUCCAACAUAUGCACAUUAUUGACAGCAGUUAACUUGUUAAAAGUUACACAUCAGACAAAUAGUAUAGGUAAUACUAUUCACAAAACUUGUACGGCUUCUUAACAAUAGGUAUUGUGACACUCAAAAAGAAGGGCACAUUUAAGAAUGAAUAGAUUGUAUCAUCGGACCAACAGUGUUUUGCUUCACUGAGAGUAUUUUAUAAAAAGCGAUGCGAUAUCUUGAGUGAAGAAGUGGAUAUAAAAUUGGAUUGAUAGUCGAAUUUAACCAGAGAAUCCAAAAAGUAAACUCGAACAAUACAGAGUUAAUACAAUCCCCUCCACAAAUGGUACUUGUUGUAGCUAGAACCUCGUAUGGCAUCCAACAGAUUGCAAACAUAAACACGAAAAUAAAGAGAGAUCUAGCCGCCUUUCUGUCACGUUGUAAUGCUAUUUUCUGGUGGUUAUUGUCAGACUUACCGGUAGUAACAAUCAUUUCUUGUUCAUCCAUUACAAUUCUAGAUGGCCCUGUCUCUGAGGAAGAUGGUGGUGGACGGGGUGUCGAAAUUUGUCGAGAAUUUGGAAUUGAUGGCCAAAAUUUCUUACUUCUUCUUCGGAUGCUUAAAUAUACAAGUAAAUUGAAGGUAGAAACUGUAACAAAUGGAAAUAAAAAUUCGAUGCAUGCACCAAUCGAAAGGACGGUCACAUUACUGUUAUAAGGCAAAAAACAUUCACCAUCCGGUAUUACACGCCCCUUUGUCACCUCCCAAAGACAAAUGGCUGGAACAAAGUACAACGUUGGUAUAACCCAUGGAAUAAGAAUAAAUAUAACUAGUAAAGUCGUUGUUUGAUUGUUCCUUGCCCAAAGCGGAUAUGCAACUUGUAUAUAACGGUCCAAACUUAUGAUGAAUAUAUUUAUAGCCGAAGCCGCCGGUGUAAUGUAAUCAAUCACAAGCCAAAAGAGGCACAUUCCGUGCCCCAAAGACCACCUACCAGUCAACACGUAUGGUGCGUAAAAAGGAAUACAUAUAGCUCCUAUAAUCAAGUCCGAUAUUGCUAAGUUUAGGAUCAAAUAAUCACUGAAAGUUCGCAGAUUCUUCACUUUAAUGAACGCCAACAAAACAAUAAAAUUACCAAAAAUUGUAAGUAUUAUACAUAUUGCAAUCAAACUUCCAAUAAUAGCGGUAACCGGAACGGAAAACACCAAAGAAUCUGAACUGCUCAUCACUCCUUUAUUUACUGAUUCAAACGGAAUUGAAGAAUGUGUUGGUUUACAGUUAUCAUCUACACAUGUUGUCCUUCAGGUAUUGUUAUUUCAUGACAACAUUUGUUCGCGCACCUGUUGCUAUGUUCAACAACACAAAUUCCAACAGUCUUUUCAUAUUUAAUUUUACCUGAUUCAUAAAGAAAUAUACGACAGUUUCAGACAAAGGAAAUCCAUUCACUGGUUAGUUGCUGACAUUUCCCAAUAUCCAUCCAACAUAUAUGAAAUUCAUUUAUUCUAAGUCCAUUAAUGUUUGUUUUUAUUUAGAUAGCUUACAGAGAACGCACCUACAUGGAACCUACAGUCUGUGAUCUUUGAUAUAGUUUUCAUGUAAAUUUAUUCUCGUACGCUCCAUUAGACAGUAAUGAAAAAAAAAAUAUGAAUUAAUAUCCAACAUGUAAAAACUUUUAACCCUGACUGUUUAUAAUUAUUUCAUAGUCUUGGUUUGAUGAAUAAUUAAAUCUGUAAACAAACUAGUCAGUAUGAAACCUCCGAAUGUCAAA
rnacentral:lncRNA from 1 species